UAAGCAUAUCAAUAAGCGGAGGAAAAGAAACCAACAGGGAUUGCCUUAGUAACGGCGAGUGAAGCGGCAAAAGCUCAAAUUUGAAAUCUGGCACCUUCGGUGUCCGAGUUGUAAUUUGAAGAAGGUAACUUUGGAGUCAGCUCUUGUCUAUGUUCCUUGGAACAGGACGUCACAGAGGGUGAGAAUCCCGUGCGAUGAGAUGUCUGAUUCUAUGUAAAGUGCUUUCGAAGAGUCGAGUUGUUUGGGAAUGCAGCUCUAAGUGGGUGGUAAAUUCCAUCUAAAGCUAAAUAUUGGCGAGAGACCGAUAGCGAACAAGUACAGUGAUGGAAAGAUGAAAAGAACUUUGAAAAGAGAGUGAAAAAGUACGUGAAAUUGUUGAAAGGGAAGGGUUUGAGAUCAGACUUGGUAUUUUGUAUGUCUUGCUUUCGGGUGGGGCCUCUACAGUUUACUGGGCCAGCAUCGGUUUGGACGGUAGGAUAAUGACAUUGGAAUGUGGCACCA
rnacentral:rRNA from 1 species